rnacentral:tRNA from 3 species
GGCCCCUUGGCGGAAUUGGUAGACGCUGCGGACUUAAAAUCCGUUUUCCUUUGGAAGUGCCGGUUCGAGUCCGGCAGGGGCUACCA